AUUGAACGCUGGCGGCAUGCCUUACACAUGCAAGUCGAACGGCAGCACGGACUUCGGUCUGGUGGCGAGUGGCGAACGGGUGAGUAAUAUAUCGGAACAUACCCAGUAGUGGGGGAUAACUAUCCGAAAGGAUAGCUAAUACCGCAUACGACCUGUGGAUGAAAGCAGGGGAUCUUCGGACCUUGUGCUAUUGGAAUGGCCGAUAUCUGAUUAGCUAGUUGGUAGGGUAAAAGCCUACCAAGGCGACGAUCAGUAGCUGGUCUGAGAGGACGACCAGCCACACUGGAACUGAGACACGGUCCAGACUCCUACGGGAGGCAGCAGUGGGGAAUUUUGGACAAUGGGGGCAACCCUGAUCCAGCAAUGCCGCGUGAGUGAAGAAGGCCCUCGGGUUGUAAAGCUCUUUUGUCAGGGAAGAAACGGAGUUCUCUAAUAUAGGAUUCUAAUGACGGUACCUGAAGAAUAAGCACCGGCUAACUACGUGCCAGCAGCCGCGGUAAUACGUAGGGUGCAAGCGUUAAUCGGAAUUACUGGGCGUAAAGCGUGCGCAGGCGGUUUUGUAAGUCUGAUGUGAAAUCCCCGGGCUCAACCUGGGAACUGCAUUGGAGACUGCAAGGCUAGAGUGUGUCAGAGGGGGGUAGAAUUCCACGUGUAGCAGUGAAAUGCGUAGAGAUGUGGAGGAAUACCGAUGGCGAAGGCAGCCCCCUGGGAUAACACUGACGCUCAUGCACGAAAGCGUGGGGAGCAAACAGGAUUAGAUACCCUGGUAGUCCACGCCCUAAACGAUGUCUACUAGUUGUCGGGACUUAAUGUCUGGUAACGCCAGCUAACGCGUGAAGUAGACCGCCUGGGAGUACGGUCGCAAGAUUAAAACUCAAAGGAAUUGACGGGGACCCGCACAAGCGGUGGAUGAUGUGGAUUAAUUCGAUGCAACGCGAAAAACCUUUACCUACCCUUGACAUGGCAGGAAUCCCGAAGAGAUUUGGGAGUGCUCGCAAGAGAACCUGCACACAGGUGCUGCAUGGCUGUCGUCAGCUCGUGUCGUGAGAUGUUGGGCUAAGUCCCGCAACGAGCGCAACCCUUGUCAUUAGUUGCUACGAAAGGGCACUCUAAUGAGACUGCCGGUGACAAACCGGAGGAAGGUGGGGAUGACGUCAAGUCCUCAUGGCCCUUAUGGGUAGGGCUUCACACGUCAUACAAUGGUACAUACAGAGGGCCGCCAACCCGCGAGGGGGAGCUAAUCCCAGAAAGUGUAUCGUAGUCCGGACUGUAGUCUGCAACUCGACUACAUGAAGUUGGAAUCGCUAGUAAUCGCGGAUCAGCAUGUCGCGGUGAAUACGUUCCCGGGUCUUGUACACACCGCCCGUCACACCAUGGGAGCGGGUUCUGCCAGAAGUAGGUAGCUUAACCGCAAGGAGGGCGCUUACCACGGCAGGGUUCGUGACUGGGGUG
rnacentral:rRNA from 1 species